UACGAGGGGGGCGAGCGUUGUUCGGAAUUAUUGGGCGUAAAGGGUGCGUAGGCGGUUCCGCAAGUCCUGUGUGAAAUCUUCGGGCUCAACUCGAAGUCUGCACGGGAAACUGCGGGGCUUGAGUGUGGGAGAGGUGAGUGGAAUUCCCGGGUGUAGCGGUGAAAUGCGUAGAUAUCGGGAGGAACACCUGUGGCGAAAGCGGCUCACUGGACCAUAACUGACGCUGAUGCACGAAAGCUGGGGGAGCAAACAGG
rnacentral:rRNA from 1 species